CACGCUCCACACAAUAGUAAUAUUGAGCAUGAGGCCAUCCAAUAGAGGAUGUAACACCAGUAGCAUUGGUUAAUAGGGAUAUUAAUUGUUUGCUGCAUUAGGUGU
rnacentral:sRNA from 12 species